ACAGGAGUGGUGUAGUUGGUGCACAUUCGGUAAGGCUGGUCGACGACCGGUAAGCCGAGAGGCGCUGGUUCGAUCCCAGCCUCCGACA